rnacentral:rRNA from 1 species
GACGAACGCUGGCGGCGUGCUUAACACAUGCAAGUCGAACGGUGAAGCGCCUUCCUUUUUGGUGGGUGUGGAUGAGUGGCGAACGGGUGAGUAACACGUGAGUAACCUGCCCCCUUCUUCUGGAUAACCGCAUGAAAGUGUGGCUAAUACGGGAUAUUCUGGGUCUGUCGCAUGAUGGGUCUGGGAAAGAUAUUGUUUCGGUGGGGGAUGGGCUCGCGGCCUAUCAGCUUGUUGGUGGGGUGAUGGCCUACCAAGGCGGUGACGGGUAGCCGGCCUGAGAGGGUGGACGGUCACACGGGGACUGAGACACGGCCGGGACUCCUACGGGAGGCAGCAGUGGGGAAUAUUGGACGAUGGGCGCAAGGCUGAUGCAGCGACGCCGCGUGGGGGAUGGAGGCCUUCGGGUUGUGAACCUCUUUCGCCAGUGAAGCAGGCCUGCCUCGUUUGUGGGUGGGUUGACGGUAGCUGGAUAAGAAGCGCCGGCUAACUACGUG